GACGAACGCUGGCGGCGUGCCUAAUACAUGCAAGUUGAGCGAUGAAGAUUGGUGCUUGCACCAAUUUGAAGAGCAGCGAACGGGUGAGUAACGCGUGGGGAAUCUGCCUUUGAGCGGGGGACAACAUUUGGAAACGAAUGCUAAUACCGCAUAACAACUUUAAACAUAAGUUUUAAGUUUGAAAGAUGCAAUUGCAUCACUCAAAGAUGAUCCCGCGUUGUAUUAGCUAGUUGGUGAGGUAAAGGCUCACCAAGGCGAUGAUACAUAGCCGACCUGAGAGGGUGGUCGGCCUCAUUGGGACUGGGACACGGCCCAAACGCCUACGGGAGGCAGCAGUAGGGAAUCUUCGGCAAUGGACGAAAGUCUGACCGGGCAACGCCGCGUGAGUGAAGAAGGUUUUCGGAUCGUAAAACUCUGUUGGUAGAGAAGAACGUUGGUGAGAGUGGAAAGCUCAUCAAGUGACGGUAACUACCCAGAAAGGGACGGCUAACUACGUG
rnacentral:rRNA from 1 species